UGAUGUUCCUUACUGGGUCAUCUGAGC
rnacentral:piRNA from 1 species